UACGUAGGGGGCGAGCGUUGUCCGAAGUUACUGGGCGUAAAGCGCGCGUAGGCGGCUCUUUAAGUCUGGUGUGAAAGGUUCAGGGCUUAACCCGAACAGUGCACUGGAUACUGGAGAGCUUGAGUUAGGGAGAGGAGAGUGGAAUUCCCGGUGUAGCAGUGAAAUGCGUAGAGAUCGGGAGGAACACCAGUGGCGAAGGCGGCCUUCUGGACCAAUACUGACGCUCAUGCACGAAAGCGUGGGGAGCAAACAGG
rnacentral:rRNA from 1 species